GUUGGUGUGUGCAGCCAAGCGGAUGUGAGGAAAGACUAGAGGUCUGGGCUGGUCAGGAAAUGCUGAGUGGCGAGGCUGAAGUCCUGAAGAAGUUGUUAACAGUGGGAAACUAGACGGGUUCCAAGGACUGCCAGUCCUGAUGAGCGCAAAAGCAGAGUCUGUGAUUUUAUUGCUGUUUUCCUUCUUCUUGGAAGGGAGUGCACUACGACGGAAUCCCAGGGUUGAGAUCAAGAUGCUCUUCAAGGGUUUCUACAGAAAAUAAACACAGUGAUGAUAAUAAGCAUAAGGAGCCUAAGACCAGCCACGUGGAGGACAAAUGGCCAGUAAAACAGCAUUUACCGUCUGAGAGAGGACCAGCACAGAUAGAUCUGGAUAGAUCCAUCUGGCUGCUACGCACUUGAAGGCCCAAGACUGGAGCCCAGGAAAGAGGGAUGGAGCAUCAGUGGAAAGACUACACUCAUGGGAGGAGCUGACAGCUCACAGGGAGAGCCUGCAGGAAGUAAAGAAAAGCAGGCCUCUGGCUGAGCCCUGAAAGAUACUUUCUUUAAAAAUAUCUUCUGGGACGCCUGGGUGGCUCAAUGGUUGAGACUUUGGCUCAGGGCCUGAUCCCAGAUUCUGGGAUUGAGUCCUGCAACAGGCUCCCUGUGUAGAGCCUGCUUCU